UGGCGAACGGGUGAGUAACACGUGGGUAACCUGCCCAUCAGAAGGGGAUAACACUUGGAAACAGGUGCUAAUACCGUAUAACACUAUUUUCCGCAUGGAAGAAAGUUGAAAGGCGCUUUUGCGUCACUGAUGGAUGGACCCGCGGUGCAUUAGCUAGUUGGUGAGGUAACGGCUCACCAAGGCAACGAUGCAUAGCCGACCUGAGAGGGUGAUCGGCCACACUGGGACUGAGACACGGCCCAGACUCCUACGGGAGGCAGCAGUAGGGAAUCUUCGGCAAUGGACGAAAGUCUGACCGAGCAACGCCGCGUGAGUGAAGAAGGUUCUCGGAUCGUAAAACUCUGUUGUUAGAGAAGAACAAGGAUGAGAGUAGAACGUUCAUCCCUUGACGUAUCUACCAGAAGCC
rnacentral:rRNA from 1 species